rnacentral:lncRNA from 1 species
AUAAUACUACUUAUAUAUCUUUCAUUUUUCUACAGAAAUUAAUUGCCUCUACCACAAUGAUUUAUAGUCAGACUGAAUAUGAUUAUUAAUUUCUCUGAUGAUUGUACCAGUGGGUGGCAACAAAUCUACUCCUGAUAGGACCAGCUUUGAAAUGCUGUGAAAACUAAAAUGUCCAUAAGGAACCUCAAUUAUUUUACUUCAGCCCAUGGGAUCCCACUUCAGUUGCAGCUGUUUGAAUUAACAUGUCUUCUUGCUGCGUCUCCUGGCUGAGGAAAGUGCAAGAAGUGCUGUCAUGGCCAGCAGAACAAACAGAUACCUGAUGUAUUACUUCAUCAGCAAAUUCAACAAGGCCAAGAUGUCUUCAUUUUCCUUCAGAGCAAGAGCUGUAAGAGCAGUGUGGUGGAAGUAUUGGUCUUCUGUGGCCAGCCGGCAAGAACCCAUCAACAGCUGUGAUGAGCAGAGCAGACAUGGGAGACAGGAGGCAGCUGAAGCCAAAGAGGACCCACGCCUGGAGCUGUGUCUGUAUGAUUGGAGCAGAGAGAGGCCAGGACCCAAGGAAAUCCCAGCAGCAAGGGAAAAAAACAGAUUGACUCUCAGUGACUCAUUUAGCUCCUGGAUUGGACAGAUCUCUCCCCUGCUGGCAAUUUGGCUGAGCAUCAAUGGCCAGAUACCAGGAUGA